GGAAAUGUGCCCGAAAGUUAAGGAUCACUUUGAUAGAGUGAAACAUAGGGGUUUAAACCCCCUCAUUUCCU
rnacentral:tRNA from 1 species